rnacentral:rRNA from 1 species
GAUGAACGCUGGCGGCGUGCCUAAUACAUGCAAGUCGAGCGAAUGGAUUAAGAGCUUGCUCUUAUGAAGUUAGCGGCGGACGGGUGAGUAACACGUGGGUAACCUGCCCAUAAGACUGGGAUAACUCCGGGAAACCGGGGCUAAUACCGGAUAACAUUUUGAACCGCAUGGUUCGAAAUUGAACGGCGGCUUCGGCUGUCACUUAUGGAUGGACCCGCGUCGCACUAGCUAGUUGGUGAGGUAACGGCGCACCAAGGCAACGAUGCGUAGCCGACCUGAGGGGGUGAUCGGCCACACGGGGACUGGGACACGGCCCAGACUCCUACGGGAGGCAGCAGUAGGGAAUCUUCCGCAAUGGACGAAAGUCUGACGGAGCAACGCCGCGUGAGUGAUGAAGGCUUUCGGGUCGUAAAACUCUGUUGUUAGGGAAGAACAAGUGCUAGUUGAAUAAGCUGGCACCUUGACGGUACCUAACCAGAAAGCCACGGCUAACUACGUGCCAGCCGCCGCAGUAA